rnacentral:tRNA from 1 species
GCCGAUAUAGCUCAGUUGGCCAGAGCACGUGAUUUGUAAUCUCGGGGUCGAGGGUUCGAAUCCCCCUAUCGGCUCAA